GGUCACUGCUAUCGGUGUUCGUCUAAGCCAUGCGAGUCAUAUGUUCUUCGGAACAUGGCGUACUGCUCAGUAACACGUGGAUAACCUGCCCUUGGGUCUGGCAUAACUCCGGGAAACUGGGGAUAAUACCGGAUAACGCAUAUCUGCUGGAAUUCUUUAUGCGUGAAAUGGAUUCGUCUGCCCAAGGAUGGGUCUGCGGCCUAUCAGGUAGUAGUGGGUGUAAUGUACCUACUAGCCGACGACGGGUACGGGUUGCGAGAGCAAGAGCCCGGAGAUGGAUUCUGAGACAUGAAUCCAGGCCCUACGGGGCGCAGCAGGCGCGAAAACUUUACAAUGCGGGAAACCGUGAUAAGGGGACACCGAGUGCCAGCAUUAUAUGUUGGCUGUCCGGGUGUGUAAAAUACACCUGUUAGCAAGGGCCGGGCAAGACCGGUGCCAGCCGCCGCGGUAACACCGGCGGCCCGAGUGGUGAUCGUGUUUAUUGGGUCUAAAGGGUCCGUAGCCGGUUUGGUCAGUCCUCCGGGAAAUCUGACGGCUUAACCGUUAGGCUUUCGGGGGAUACUGCCAGACUUGGAACCGGGAGGGGUAAGAGGUACUACAGGGGUAGGAGUGAAAUCUUGUAAUCCCUGUGGGACCACCUGUGGCGAAGGCGUCUUACCAGAACGGGUUCGACGGCGAGGGACGAAAGCUGGGGGCACGAGCCGGAUUAGAUACCCGGGUAGUCCCAGCAGUAAACGAUGCUCGCUAGGUGUCAGGCAUG
rnacentral:rRNA from 1 species